AACUCAUGCCAUUAAUAUAUUUGGGAGUCAUUCCAAAAAAACAGUAGCUGGAAAAUCUUUUUGUAGUUUGAUUUAUUUGUUGGUUGAAGCAGAUAAGUUAACACUUUUUGGUAUUAGAGGCUGGAUUUUGACAGCAAUUCACUCUACUAAUGGCUCUUGCAAAGGGAGUUGGGGUUUCCUGGACUAAUAUUCAUUAAAUGUUGAAGUUAACCACUUGAAAUCAGAAACAAAGAACAGAUGACAGAGCAACAUCAAUGCAUGUGUAAUGGCACUGAAGGAGUGGGAAAGGCAGUGGGCCCAGCAGGAGCAAGUGGCUAACACAUGCCACGAGACAGUUUUUCCCGUAUCUUUUUUCCACACAGAGGAAAGGGGAAAAAAACCCCAAACUAUUUCACAACAAACUUAACCCGUGGAAUUAAGGAAAAGUUUCAAAACAGAGGGCAAAGCUGCCGUUUACUGCUUCACAAAGGAUUAAAGGAAUAUACAGAAGAUGUACUUCAUAAGCUCUCUUCAAGGAGAUGGCCUGCUUUUAUGUAAACUCCCUUUCAUCUUAUCAUAUAUUGUUCACACUAAGGAUAUAAAGUAGACAGGAUAUCGAGUGAGGCUACAAAAUGAUGCAGACGGAAACAAGGCUCUUUUCAGCAGUUUAUGUUCCAAAACACUGCUGAAACACUCCAAGAUUGCCACGUCCCUAUCUUUCUUGAAAAUAUGUUUGUGCUUAUGUAAACCCCACAUGCACCUGUGAUUUAUAUUUUGAAGCAAGACAUGAAUUUCUUGAGCAAACUGUUGGUUUAGACUAUAUGGAGGCAGAAAGUCUACUCUUGGGAAUGAUGCUAAGGCUUUCCACAAUGGAGUCCUCCAUUAUGUUAAUGUCCCUGAAGGGUAGUUUUGGCUGUGCUGCAUUUUAAAGUUAACUUGGAUUUUAAUGAAUACCUGAUACUGUUCAAUCAAUAUUGGCAUUUACACUCAAUUCUGUAUAAGGAGAUUGUGUGCCAGGGAAAAUUAUCAUCCCAGUUGUCUGGAAUAGCUUGCCAAAUAAAUAGCACAUUUCUUCCUGUUUC